GCCAGAGUGGAGCAAUGGUUUGAGCCUUGGACUACAACUCUGGAGACAAGGGUUCAAAUCCUUGCUCUGCCA